rnacentral:rRNA from 1 species
CGAAGCGUGCGAUUGGAUUGCACGUCUAAGCAGUAAGGCUGAGUAUUAGGCAAAUCCGGUACUCAUUAAGGCUGAGCUGUGAUGGGGAGAAGACAUUGUGUCUUCGAGUCGUUGAUUUCACACUGCCGAGAAAAGCCUCUAGAUAGAAAAUAGGUGCCCGUACCGCAAACCGACACAGGUAGUCAAGAUGAGAAUUCUAAGGUGAGCGAGCGAACUCUCGUUAAGGAACUCGGCAAAAUGACCCCGUAACUUCGGGAGAAGGGGUGCUCUUUAGGGUUAACGCCCAGAAGAGCCGCAGUGAAUAGGCCCAAGCGACUGUUUAUCAAAAACACAGGUCUCUGCUAAACCGUAAGGUGAUGUAUAGGGGCUGACGCCUGCCCGGUGCUGGAAGGUUAAGAGGAGUGGUUAGCUUCUGCGAAGCUACGAAUCGAAGCCCCAGUAAACGGCGGCCGUAACUAUAACGGUCCUAAGGUAGCGAAAUUCCUUGUCGGGUAAGUUCCGACCCGCACGAAAGGCGUAACGAUUUGGGCACUGUCUCAACGAGAGACUCGGUGAAAUCAUAGUACCUGUGAAGAUGCAGGUUACCCGCGACAGGACGGAAAGACCCCGUGGAGCUUUACUGUAGCCUGAUAUUGAAAUUCGGCACAGCUUGUACAGGAUAGGUAGGAGCCUUUGAAACGUGAGCGCUAGCUUACGUGGAGGCGCUGGUGGGAUACUACCCUAGCUGUGUUGGCUUUCUAACCCGCACCACUUAUCGUGGUGGGAGACAGUGUCAGGCGGGCAGUUUGACUGGGGCGGUCGCCUCCUAAAAGGUAACGGAGGCGCUCAAAGGUUCCCUCAGAAUGGUUGGAAAUCAUUCAUAGAGUGUAAAGGCAUAAGGGAGCUUGACUGCGAGACCUACAAGUCGAGCAGGGUCGAAAGACGGACUUAGUGAUCCGGUGGUUCCGCAUGGAAGGGCCAUCGCUCAACGGAUAAAAGCUACCCCGGGGAUAACAGGCUUAUCUC